UACGUAGGGUGCAAGCGUUAAUCGGAAUUACUGGGCGUAAAGCGUGCGCAGGCGGUUAUGUAAGACAGAUGUGAAAUCCCCGGGCUCAACCUGGGAACGGCAUUCGGGACUGCAAGGCUGGAGUGCGGCAGAGGAGACUGGAAUUCCUGGUGUAGCAGUGAAAUGCGUAGAUAUCAGGAGGAAUACCGAUGGCGAAGGCAGGUCUCUGGGCUGACACUGACGCUCAUGCACGAAAGCGUGGGGAGCAAACAGG
rnacentral:rRNA from 1 species